AAGUGGAUUUUCAAGUUGAGACUUGAAAGACUCUGCAGGAUCAAAGAUAAUACAAGGUUGAAUGGCAAGAGGUUAUGGCAGAAUAAAGAGACUUAAGAGAGAAUGGAGGGAAAAUUGAUAAAGCAAAAGGAAUCAAGCUGAAAAUUCACAAAGAUAGAAGAAGAAUGAAGUUCAAAAUACAAAUGCCUGGGUUGGCUUUGGACAAAAGAAGCACUACUUCAUUUGAAGUUGGGCAGCAACAGGAAUAGAAUAUUCCAGACAGGAGCUGUUCCUUUAACCUGGAUCACAGAAUGGAAUUUCAAGUGAAGCAGACCUUUAGUCAACCCAUAGACCUACAGCGGAGCCACAGACAAAUCUCAGG
rnacentral:lncRNA from 1 species